AUCGCUCGCGCUCGUCACUUUUGACCACCCGAUCGAGCAACUACAGCAUUUUUUUGCCUGCUGGCGGCUGGUCAACCGUCCGCUUUUUUUCACUUUUACAUCUGCUUCACAAGAGAAUGACUGGUGGGGCUUGUUAGACGUGGGGUCGCGAGAUUGACGUGAGUUUCCUUCAGCUUUUGGUUAACGAAGUCCGCGUCCUGAUCGCCAAUCGCGAUCUGGAAAAAAGCAACCCUACACCCACGGGCCAAUCCCGCAGCCGCCUCCCUCGCAAUCCCGCAGCCGCCUCCCCCGCUUCCUCUGCGCCUCGCGCCGCAACCGCCUCCCCCGCUUCCUUCGCGCCUCCGCCUCCUCUCCCAUCUCCUCCCUGCUGCUACUGGCCAUCGCACCCUCGCCAUCGACGAUUGAUGCGGCCGACGGCGAGCGCCGGUUAGCGACCGGGAGGCCGCCACCUCUCCUGACCUCCUCCCAGGUUCCCGAUCUGGAGCAGCGAGGCCAACCCCCCUCCCCUUCACACGCAGGUGCUCCCCCUCUUCCCUCAGUUCCUUCUCUUUCUUCCCUGACCCUGUCGAUGGCCAGACGGGUGACGGGGUGGAUCGGGUGGCGGUGAUGUCAGAGCUUGAGAUGGCAGAGCUCGGGCUGGAGCGCUCAUGGGGUGACGGAUUCAAGGGCUGGAGCUCUCACGGAAUGGAGGUGCUCAGACUAGAGGCAGCGGAGGACGCCCUAUGGGCGAGCUGGAGGUGGAGGCGAGAGGAUGGGAAGAGGCCUGGAGUGGCUCGGGGCAGUGAAGGGGAAUAGAGAUGAGGAGGCGCGGAGUGAAGAGCCGGGAAGGAGGAGGGUUCGGAAGAGAGAAGAGAAGAGUGUGUCGACCAUGCGCUUGUAUGGAACACCAUCAGCCGAUCCACACUCUGCUCUGCCAACCUUGCUUCAUUUGGCCUCUGCAGAUACCCACACACCUUCACCCCCUCUUGGUUCUUCGUUUGGCUGGAUUGUAGGUGGCCUUUUGCAAGAAGAGUUUCAGUGCUCAGCAUAUUGCAGUCAUUGCAGCAGCGAGUUCUAUGAAGCACAUCAAUCAAGGGUACAUAGUCAAUGACAAUCCCUCCCAUUUAAUUAGAUGGUUUGCCAGUUUCUUCAUGUAGAUAGUAUCAUAGUGAUGCGAUUCAGAUGUUUAUAAUUCUUUUCUAACAUUACAUGUUCUUGUAGUCAUUCAUUUUGAAACCACGGAGGCCAUCGCAUUAUGCAUUGGUUAGACUAGGUAAUUUCUGUUCUAUAACUUUUCUAUCAAUAUGCCAGGAUCGACUGUUCGCCUCACCUUUAUUCUACAAUGCCAAAAUGUCCAGAACAUAAGGGCAACAUAAAUUUCAAGCUUUUAGACCUUACUUAUGUUAUGAACUUAUGAUAUAUGUCUAAAUUCUAUAGAUGUUUUAUCCUUUGCUACAUCUGAGUAUACACUAAUUAGUUAAACCUUUUCUUCUCCGGAUCUGCAUUCCACCUGUACUAAUUGCGAGAUUAUAUAUGUGUUUGUGUUCAUUCUUAAUUUAAACUAGACCUAGCUGUAUAUACUACAAAAUUUGUUAAACUUGCGCUGGGCAGGUUUCCAUGAUGAGUUCGUAGCCUUUAUGAAGUUGUUGCUGAUUGUUUUCUGUAAUCAUCGCUCAUUUCUCGUCUCCAUAGCAGAAAAUUUGAUUCUUGCCUCUAACCUUGAUCCUGAUGAAACAAUUGCUUGGCACAAUAAAUAAAUGUUUGAGUGGCAUGAUGUGUUAGGUUUCCAUGAUUUACUGUCAUUUACAUGAGGAGGUGGCAGUUUUGGCUACCUCCACCCGCCUCAGUCUGUUUUUUAAAGUGGGAAGUGAUGAAUCGAACAAGGAGGAAGGACGACGUGUUUGUUCUUUCCGGCGUGUUUACUAGACUUUGUAUAUAUGAACUUCACCUCAUAUUUUCUUCCUGGCUUGAUAAGAACUGAACAAUACAAUUUGGUUUCUCGUGUCCAGUAUUCCAGAUUGAGUGAUGCUAGAGAUAUGCGACCCUUAGACCAGUUUACGAAAUGCUUUAGGUGUAUUUUUCUUUCAUGUACAUAGCUGGAAGUAGUCUGAUAGCCAUUUUAUAAGGAUAAACAAGGCUUACUGUACGUAAGGUUUGAGACUACCCCAUUUCAAAUAACUAAGGGAAUCACUAUUCCUCAAAUGCAAGAUAUUGGUUUAUUUUAUUUCGUAUGGCAUGUUUUUGUUUCAGUUCUUUGUUUUUUCAAUCCAUUUGCUUUCUUGCAGUCUUUGUGAUAACAGUGAUUUGAGAAGGAUCUGUCUCUGUAGCUGUAGAUGAUAACUACAUAAUUAUUUGUUCUUUCUAUGUGAAAUAUUUAACCUUCAGUACUUAUAAUGCACAAAUAUAAAAUUGUAUAUUGCUAUUAUGUUCUUCUAUCCUAGAAUUAUUUCCCUUAUCUGCCUAUCUUGAUCAUGAAAUUAAGUCAAUUUCUUCUAUUAUCUUCAUGUGUUUGGGGAUAGGAUUCUGAAAGCUUGCCUAAUAAUUUUAUCAUAUAAGUUGAAAUUCAGUAAAACAUUCCCACUUGACAGUUCUGUUGUUAUUCCCUUAAAUGUUGAUCCAAGUGUCAUAAAUGACACAAGAUGCGUAGCUUGUUUUUUACCUUACAAUUUUGCUAGAUACAUUCUGAGAAUAUUUUGUGAGGCAUCCUGAUUUGCAUAUCACAGGCUGCUAGAGUUGUUCAAGCAGUUGUGUGCGUUCUACUUUUGAUAAUUUUGCUAUCUAUAUUUUGUACUUCAUUUAGUUUGAAUAGAUACCAUAACCUAGGCUAGGUUCAGUAACUAUUUGUUUGCUUUUUUUACAUAGCGGCUGAAUCAAAAUCAUUCUCUUAUUUCCCUGGUGGCCUGGUGCUUACGGUUUAAUUGCUAUAGUUGCUGGAGCCAUUGGCCUUUUAUACAUAAUAGUGUAUACAUUUAUAAUGUCAAUCCUUGCUCAUGGUACAUCUUUCUUGGUUGUCUGGCGACAAGAGUUAGCAUAUCAACCAUGUGAGUAGGCCUUGCACUAACCUCGGUAUUGGCAACAGAUCCGACAAAUUUACUAAUUUGAUCUUAACAAUUAUACUAUGGGUUUGCCUUAGUUGACCAUCAACUGUGCAUCAUGCAAUUAAAAAAACUCUUGCCACUGUAGUUUUACUUCUAACUAAAGGGAUUCAAUUGACUGUGAGAGGAGAGCAGAGCAGCAAGAGGGGAACUCACUCCUCAACACGGCGACCUGCGCGGGCGUGAGCUUCGCCGUGAACCUGUUGAUGGCGUUCUUGUAGCUGUAGACCAGCGUCACUUUCGGCCUUCUCCUUACUUGGAAAAGAACCUAUCAUAGACUUCACCCAGCCUUCUUGUAGCUGUAGACCAUCAUGUCAUGUAAUUACUUGCAAAACAACUAUAUUGUUUUUUGGUAUUGUAAAGCGGAAAUGGUAGAACUCUACAACUUCUCUGUUAGUGUCGCUUGAUUAUUUACUUUCUCAUGUAUUGUGGAUAUAGUGCUGUCGGUAUAUUAAGUAUAUGCACGAAGAUAUGCAAAUUUUAAGUAUAUGCAUGUCGUACACACCUAGAGGGCUUUUCUGAACAGACUAGGCUUUUAGUAGAUUUGGGUUUCUAUUUGCAUUCAUUUUUGCCUCUCUUUUCUGCUGCAGCUCCGCUGGUUCUUUGUUCUUGCUGCGCUUUGGGUUGACUUGCCAUGGAACCGUUUGGCUGAGGUGUCUCCAUCACCAUUAUUUGCUAUGUUUUGGAUUUGCCAGCUCACUGACUGCUACAUUUUUCCUCUUGUUGGCCUCUUCUUUUUCUGUCGUCGUCCAUCGAUCCAACCUGCUGUUGUUCGCUUCGUCGGCUUGCAGUUGCUUCUAGAGCGUGCUGUGGAUUCGUUGUGCCUCCUUCCAAUAUAGAUCAUCUUGUGGUCCGUGGACAUUAAAUUUUAAGCAGUACUUCACAUGAGGUAUUUUGUCUCACACUUCUCCACAAGUAUUUUUCGUUGUGUAUCAUUACACUUACUCUAUGUUGUACCAUUAUUUUAAAACUAACUCUGGCUAUUACUUUACAGGAUUAUAUGACAAAUUUAAAAACAAAAACUAGCUAUCAUUUUAGUGGACUCGAAAUUGAAUGUUGAUAAUAUAAAAAAUUGAGACUUGAAGGAAACAGCACUAAUUCCCAUGGAUUGUAUGAUUCUGCAUAGACCCAUAAGAAUGGAAACAACAUAUAUUGACUAAGAGUUGGUUAAGUCUCAGUCGACUGAGAUUUAGCAACCCUGAGCACUUGUAGGAAGAACAAAAGGCAAAUGUAAAUACCACAAACAAGCUGCUCGAAAAAGGAGAAGAGAUUAAACAGUACAAGAACAUCAAACAGAUGACUAGGGAAGCGGUCACACUACCAGACGUAGUGCGUGUUACAUCAAACAAAAUCCAUGAUUUCACUAGAGCUACCUUGGACCCUACCGCUUCAAUGACUAUAUGUAAUCUCAAAUAGACUCUUCUGGAAAUUAUUCAUGAUGUUGUGGUUGUGCUUCAAAGCUUGACUAGCGUGGCAUGUCUCUCACUGCAUGAGAAAAGGCAUAUGAUCCAGACUCAGAUUCAAGUUGUAUUGAGGGUUAUGCUAACAACAUGGGUGAUGGGUACAACAACUAUGUGCAAUCAUCGUAGCCAUGCCUGCUUGGACGAAGAAAUCAUGUUCGACAUUGUUGGGACAUGUGGUGAUGACUCUACCUAAUACCACCACCUUCUCGUGUCUUGGUCCUUCCUGCGAGCAAGACAAUACAUCUCUGCUAAUAUAGCUUUCUUUAUAAAGCCAAUGUAUGCCAUUAUCAAGUGAUCUGAAUAUUUUCUUUUAAUCUACCAAGACCAUGUAAUGGAAUGUAAGUAUCUAUUAAGUUAGUUCAAAAUCAAUCUCAUACGAAUGGUUUGAAUGCUCGGCUCGCUCUCGCUUUUUCACGGUAUAUACAUUUUCGAGAUGGAACAUAUUUCAGCAGAUUUCACUAUUCGUGCUCCGGGUGGAGAUUUUAAUGUACUAUGCACCUAAAUUUUGAUUUGACAUGCACCAGAUAUUUCGGUGGCCCCAAGCCCUCAACCCUCAGCAUCGUCUGGGUCCGCUGUGCAUGCUCAUCCGCGUUGUCGAGGGACGCCUCCUCCUGCCGCACCCCUGUCCAAUAUUUUGCUUAUGCAAAAAAUUCUUACCAUGGCGUCACCUAUUUGGACAAUUAGGCGAGCUCUGCAUUUUGGUUUUCUAUCCUUAAGAGGGAGCACAUUUUUCGUGAGUUAGUCAUGCUACCAUAGUAACAUAAACUCUUACUCCAUAAUUACAAUCCCUAGAUUGUGGUGAGAUGCAAUGCUAAGCAAAUGGAAGAUAACAGUUUGUACCGGCAAAAGGUCAAUAACAGUAUUUUGCCCCACUAAAAGAGAUGGAUAUUAGCAUCGUCCGUGAUGCAUUUUGUUUGCAUUUUCCUGUGAUAGAAACGAGUGCAUUUCAUUUACAUUUUGCCAUGCUGGAUUUUAGAUACGAUGUUGAUGCCUACAAUUCUUUUUACUGAAUUUAUGUGGCAGAUGAGAACUGAUACAUUACCGCCCUCAAUCCUUUUGUUUUUCUGUAUUUAGGAACAUGAUACUACAUUUGAUCUUUUCGCAAAAUAAAAACUGCUUGCAACAGAGAUGAUGCCUGUGAUUUUAGUCAGCUAAUGUUAAUGCUAUAUGGGAUUUUUUUUGUAUUGAAGGAACGGUGUACGUAAUGGACCAUAUAUUACUUAUCCAGUGAUGUAUGCUCAUUACUAAUCUGAUGUGUUGUUUUUCUUGUGAUGGACACUGCUGCAUUUGUUGUCCAUGUUGCCAUCGUGAGCUUCAGGUAACUGCUUUAUGUGGAAAUAUGCCAAUGGAUAACUUCCUUCGGAUUAACAAGUUCAUGUGUGCUGCUGCUCUUACUAUCUACCUGGUAGUCUGGUCCGCAGUGCUAUUGCUGGCUUUUUCCCCUGGAGUACCAAAAAAAUAGCAGACAAGCAAAAUUCUCUUUUUGUGACUUCCUAAAUGUUUGUUUCUUGAAUGAGUCCACUCAUUUGGUAUUUCUCUGUGCUAUUGAAAGUUCUAUGAUGCUUACUGUCUAGCUGAUUUUUUGUAGACCAUUAGUUAAGAAGGUUAUUGAAUAUUUUUAGUUUGUAUGCCAAUAAAGGUUGUAUGUUAAGUGGUAAAAUGUAGUAACAUACUAAUUAGAUUAUUUUAUAUUUGUAUUUGAUUUGCCUUUAUCUUCCUACAAUAGUCAGUUCUUCUUGGUAGUCUGUGCAAGUGGUACAUCAUGGAUAGGCAUUGGAUCACUGUUUUGCUUAUUUGAUCGAUUUUUGUUUCAGCUACCCAAUUUAUGUCUUGCUGGUUGCCUAAGAUGAGUUUCGCUUCUUUGUUCAGAUCACCCUUGUAAUAGAAGCCAUGCAAGCGCCAUGUAAAAUAGUUUUCAAUCAGAACUGAAGCCAUCUGCUGGAAGUAACAUCUGUAGGGACUGAACCUAUAUGCCACUCCCAGUAAUAUAGAGUGAAGGCAAUAACAACAUUGUUUGUUGUUGGUUUAUAAUGGGUGCAUUCCUACUCCUUGGAUUCACCUGUUUAUCGCGUGCACACCUUGGCUAAGAUAUGUUGUUUCUUAAAAUUACCUGCAAGUCUGAAUCCUUUAAUUGUUUGUACAAUAUUUUUCAUUAUAGGAGUAUUGGACAUCGUUUAUUCCUGGUAUGCACAUCAAAUUUUCAGAUAUUCAUAAUAGUGGAUGUACCUUUAGGCUUUCGUGAAAUAGAUAUGCAUCAUAUAUUGAUGCAUGUCCUAAUCAGCGGAUCAUUACUAUAGUUUAUGUAGUGUCAAACCUUACAUUAUGUGCCUUCUUUUAAGUUUUCACAUAAAGCUAAGGUGUUCCUCUGUUUAGAUAGUUUAGAUAGAAGGCAAUACUGAACCACCUCCAUUUAUUGUCUCGACAUGAUCUUUUAACAUUGUUUUUCAACUGUGUUCAAUCUGGCUUAUCAGUAAAACAUACUCACUGUCUAUCGUUCUGCCUUGAUCCGUUGGUUACCUUUAUUUGCUUGGGUUGGUCCAGGUAACUGGCCAAGCUACUUGGCUCACUUUCGCUGCCUUUUGCGGGUGCUUCUGUGGGAUGUUAUUCUCAUUCUGAGCCUUAAUGCUCAGAGGAGGGUCAGGGUCAUCUAGAAUGAAGGCAAGCAUAUGCUUUUGCCUUCAAAUGCACUUCCAAGGGACUGCGCCUGAUCGUCUAUUCAAUAUAAGCAAGUUGCAGGAUCCCCUUGUUAUAUAACUUGGCAUUAGUAUAGAUGCCUACCAAAGACUUCUAUGUUUAUCAUCCUUUUGGAUCUUAUGUAAUCCCCUAAGACCAUCCUGUGCAUUGAACUGUCGGUUAUUUGCUGUUUAGACUAUUGGGUGGUAUGCUUUUGAAACAGUCAAGAUGAAA